GUGAGUCAUCGAAUCUUUGAACGCACAUUGCGCCCCUUGGUAUUCCGGGGGGCAUGCCUGUUCGAGCGUCAUUACAACCCUCAAGCUCUGCUUGGUCUUGGGCGUCACCGGUCCCCGGUGUGCCUUAAAAUCAGUGGCGGCGCCAUCUGGCUCUAAGCGUAGUACACACUCUCGCUACAGACGCCCGGUGGAUGCUGGCCAGCAACCCCCAUUUCUUAAGGUUGACCUCGGAUCAGGUAGGGAUACCCGCUGAACUUAAGCAUAUCAAUAAGCGGAGGA
rnacentral:misc_RNA from 1 species